AUUGAACGCUGGCGGCAGGCUUAACACAUGCAAGUCGAGCGGGGUGAUGGUGCUUGCACUAUCACUUAGCGGCGGACGGGUGAGUAAUGCUUAGGAAUCUGCCUAUUAGUGGGGGACGACAUCUCGAAAGGGAUGCUAAUGCCGCAUACGUCCUACGGGAGAAAGCAGGGGAUCACUUGUGACCUUGCGCUAAUAGAUGAGCCUAAGUUGGAUUAGCUAGUUGGUGGGGUAAAGGCCUACCAAGGCGACGAUCUGUAGGGGGUCUGAGAGGAUGAUCCGCCACACUGGGACUGAGACACGGCCCAGACUCCUACGGGAGGCAGCAGUGGGGAAUAUUGGACAAUGGGGGGAACCCUGAUCCAGCCAUGCCGCGUGUGUGAAGAAGGCCUUAUGGUUGUAAAGCACUUUAAGCGAGGAGGAGGCUCUUUUGGUUAAUACCCAAGAUGAGUGGACGUUACUCGCAGAAUAAGCACCGGCUAACUCUGUGCCAGCCGCCGCAGUAA
rnacentral:rRNA from 1 species